CUCCGUCCCAUAAUAAGUGUAGCCAUGAGUUUCCGCGCCUAACUUUGAUCGUUCGUCUUAUUUGAAAUUUUUUUAUAAUUAGCAUUUUUGUUGUUAUGAGAUGAUAAAACAUGAAUAGUACUUUACUUGUAACUUAUGUUUUUAAUUUUUUUCAAAAAAUUUUCAAAUAAAACGAACGGUCAAAGUUGGGCGUGGAAAACCAUGGCUGCACUUAUUUUGGGACGGAGGAA
rnacentral:pre_miRNA from 1 species